rnacentral:misc_RNA from 1 species
UUAAGUUCAGCGGGUAUCCUUGUCUGAUCUGAGGUCAAACCAUAAGAGUUUGAAUCAGGCGAGGCCCUUCGACAGUUGGGAACGAGUUUGAAAUUUACUACGUUGACAUCUGGCCGGGAGCCCGCAAGCGUGCCACAUUAGGGAGGGGUCGAAACCGACCGCAUCCCAAGACCCUGCCGGUGGACCGAUAAAAGUCCACG